UUCCGGCGUCCCCAAAUUGAUAAAGAAGCACGCACACCCUAAUCCCCAAGUCCACAAGACGAGAGAAUCAUGGGGAAGGGGCGGACGAGGGGUUGUCGUCAAUUUUGGGAAAAUGGAGUGUUUAGAUAUUGUUUUAAACAUCGUUUUGAUUCUGUUAGCUGUGCCCGCUAUAAUGCUUCGACUUGUCAAAGAUUCUCUAGGCGCGUACGUAUUAUAAGUUGGAGGGAUCGGAUCACUCUGCUGAUAAAUUUGAUAUUCAGGAGGAAAAGUUGUCCAAGCCUGAUGAUGUUACUACCUCCACACCACUUGGCUCCGAUCAAGUUCAAAGUUGCUAUUCCUCCACUACAAGCGCAAAUCUUUAGAGAAGAAGAAGCGCAAAGCCAAAUCCACCACCUUUCUCUUUUAACCCCCGGAAAAUGUUUUCCAAUGCUUUAAUUAAUUUGUUAACUUAAAAUUUGCGAUGCUUUAUUAUUAGGAUUAUGACUUAAUAAAGACCUGGUUAUGUUAUUUUGGGAAAUCUUUGUCCCCCAUGUCUCCUUGUGUUAUAGCUGGUCAAAGAUGUUUCAUUUCACAAACUGGUCUUUUCUAGUUGAUACCAAUGCUGCUUUCUUUUCUAAUUGAUAUCAUUUUUUUUUAACA